CGGCGGACGGGUAGUAACACGUGGAUAACCUACCUAUAAGACUGGGAUAACUUCGGGAAACCGGAGCUAAUACCGGAUAAUAUAUUGAACCGCAUGGUUCAAUAGUGAAAGACGGUUUUGCUGUCACUUAUAGAUGGAUCCGCGCCGCAUUAGCUAGUUGGUAAGGUAACGGCUUACCAAGGCAACGAUGCGUAGCCGACCUGAGAGGGUGAUCGGCCACACUGGAACUGAGACACGGUCCAGACUCCUACGGGAGGCAGCAGCU
rnacentral:rRNA from 1 species